UACGGAGGGGGCUAGCGUUGUUCGGAAUUACUGGGCGUAAAGCGCACGUAGGCGGCUUUGUAAGUUAGAGGUGAAAGCCCAGGGCUUAACCCUGGAAUUGCCUUUAAGACUGCAUCGCUAGAAUCGUGGAGAGGUGAGUGGAAUUCCGAGUGUAGAGGUGAAAUUCGUAGAUAUUCGGAAGAACACCAGUGGCGAAGGCGACCUGCUGGGCUAUGGCUGACACUGAGGCGCGACAGCGUGGGGAGCAAACAGG
rnacentral:rRNA from 1 species